CAGGCCUAACACAUGCAAGUCGAACGAGAUCCUUCGGGGUCUAGUGGCGCACGGGUGCGUAACGCGUGGGAAUCUGCCCCUUGGUUCGGAAUAACGUCGGGAAACUGACGCUAAUACCGGAUGACGACGUAAGUCCAAAGAUUUAUCGCCCUGGGAUGAGCCCGCGUCCGAUUAGGUAGUUGGUGGGGUAAAGGCCUACCAAGCCGACGAUCGGUAGCUGGUCUGAGAGGAUGAUCAGCCACACUGGGACUGAGACACGGCCCAGACUCCUACGGGAGGCAGCAGUGGGGAAUAUUGGACAAUGGGCGAAAGCCUGAUCCAGCAAUGCCGCGUGAGUGAUGAAGGCCUUAGGGUUGUAAAGCUCUUUUACCCGGGAUGAUAAUGACAGUACCGGGAGAAUAAGCCCCGGCUAACUCCGUGCCAGCAGCCGCGGUAAU
rnacentral:rRNA from 1 species